CACGUCAGCGCGAUGUCAGGGUAUGCGCCAGGAAAUCGCGUCCACGUUAGUGGACGCGAUUUCCUGGCGCGUACCCUGACAUCGCGCUGACGUGG
rfam:Gossypium hirsutum cultivar TM-1 chromosome 20, whole genome shotgun sequence